rnacentral:misc_RNA from 1 species
GCAAACUUGGUCAUUUAGAGGAAGUACAAGUCGUAACAAGGUUUCCGUAGGUGAACCUGCGGAAGGAUCAUUAACGAGUUUUGAAAGGGGUUGCAGCUGGCCAUCCUUGUCGGAGGCAUGUGCUCGCCCUGCUCAAUCCACUCUACACCUGUGAACUUACUGUGGGUCUUGGUGGGCCUUCGUCCUUCCGGGGGCGUCGGCUUUAACCUGGCCUACGUUUUAUUUACAAACACUUUUAAAGUAUCGAGAAUGUCUACUGCGAUAUAACGCAUUUAUAUACAACUUUCAGCAACGGAUCUCUUGGCUCUCGCAUCGAUGAAGAACGCAGC